rnacentral:rRNA from 1 species
AACGAACGCUGGCGGCAUGCCUAACACAUGCAAGUCGAACGAGACCUUCGGGUCUAGUUGCGCACGGGUUCGUAACGCGUGGGAACCUGCCCUUAGGUUCGGAAUAACUCCCCGUAAGGGGUGCUAAUACCGGUUAAUGUCUUCGGACCAAAGAUUUAUCGCCUUUGGAUGGGCCCGCGUUGGAUUAGCUUGUUGUUAGGGUAAAAGCCUACCAAGGCGACGAUCCAUAGCUGGUCUGAGAGGAUGAUCAGCCACACUGGGACUGAGACACGGCCCAGACUCCUACGGGAGGCAGCAGUGGGGAAUAUUGGACAAUGGGCGAAAGCCUGAUCCAGCAAUGCCGCGUGAGUGAUGAAGGCCUUAGGGUUGUAAAGCUCUUUUAACCGGGAUGAUAAUGACAGUACCGGGAGAAUAAGCUCCGGCUAACUCCGUG